UUGUUCUGCCCAGCAGACGCGUCUGCCGAUCGUGCGAGCGCUCCGCUUCCGCCGAUCCCCGCGGGCCAGCGGUAACUCCUUGAUUUUCGGGUUUUUUGAGGAAUCCCUGAUUUUCGGUUUGGUCCACGCGAAAGUGCCUCCCGAUUGAGUCCCGGCCCUGGCUUUAGGCCCCAAGAAGAACGGCGAGAGAACAGAUCCGCAGAAACAACGUUGCGCUGCCGCUCCUGCCGUGCGCUCCCCACCCCCGAUCCGCCCCGAGCCGACCCUGCCUCCGAUCGCCGCCGCCGAGCUCCUCUGCCGGACACCAUGGCUCCGUCGGACCUUCCCUCGCGAGUGACGGCCCUCUUCCCGACCAGAUCGGCGACGGCGACGACCGGUGAUGAACACAUGCCUGCCCCAUUCUUAAUUCUCCCGGGCAGUCUGGGAUGCAGAUGCCGCCGCCAUUCUUCCGCACAGCUGAGUACGCGGAAGUCGUUGUUGCCUGCAACUCAGCCCUGCGAAGUUGAGGAGGGUUCGUUGUCCGGGCAUCGCAUCCUCCUGCUUGUCCUCUACCACAGGGUCGUCGCCAUCUUCCGUCACCACGACCACCUCUGCCAUGUCCUCUACGGCUCUACCACGGGUCAGCAAGAGCAUACCACCGCAUGUCCUCUUCACAUGAUAAGUACAGACUUGGCUAAGCGAUUUUAUGUCAAACUGACAUAAAUAUGAUUAAGUCCUUGUUGUGUUUUUACUGGUAGGGAGAGCAUGAGAAAGGUGUUGUGGAUACAUAUAUGAAUGCCCGCCAGAAGAAGAGAAAGGUGUUUGGCUGCAAAUCAGUUUUAUGUCAAACUGCACAUAAAUAUGAUCAAGUACUUGUUGUCUUUUUGCUGGUAGGAAGAGCAGGAGAAAGGUGUUGUGGAUACAUAUAUGAAUGCCUGCCAGAAGAAGAGAAAGGUGUUUGGCUGCAAGUUAUUGUGUUCGUAGGCUGUCCAUAUCACCGGGACUAAGGGAAAAUGUUCAACUGCCGCGUUCCUGUCUAAUAUCAUGAGGGAGCAAGCAUAAACUGUCGGCUGCUAUUCCAGUCCACACCUUUUAACAAUCCGAGAGCGCAUCACCGGUUUCAGCUGCAUCUUUGAGGGAUCUUUUUGAUCUGGCCAAGGAAGAUAUUGAUGAAUCAAUCGAAUCAGAAAAUAGAUCCCUGUCACACUUUGAGGUAUAUUUUUCAAAGUUAUUUUUAAGUUGCAGGGUUGGUUUUUGCUUUAAUAAAAUGAUGAUGAUGUGUACUCAGAUAUUUUUUUGUAUGUCCCCGAAUGGGAUCCUAUACAAUACAAAUAAACGAAAAGCAUAACAAGAGAAAUAGCAAAGGUACUAUCGAUUUUCCUUCAAUAGUUUGCAUCUCACAGCAUUGAACAUUACAGAAGCAGCGGAAACUGGGAAGAAAAUUGUAUGACACAAGAAGAGAUACUUUUAGAAGCAGCAGAAACAGGUUCCCCUUGUAUAUCUCUUUCUACCUUUACCCAAACAUAUAUUAAAAAAACAAGUUUUGAACGAAUAUUUAUUAAUUAUCUUUGUAUAUUUAUAUUUCUAGAGAUUAUGAGCACAACAAAUCUUUUCUUUCGAGAGCACUCAAAGCACGUGCCUUACUUUUAUAGAAGAGAGCAAAACAAUUUACAAGAGGUCUAGCGAGUGCGGAACACUCCAAGACUAACACCCACCACCACUCCUACAAGGAACCCAAAACUAAUCUCUCACAAAGCGUUAGACAUCAUGCCGUGCAAAUGACCAGGGUGUCGAACCCACGUUUGUCUUCCUUCGCAAAGCACAACAAAUCUUGAAGCAUGUGCUGUCAAGAGAGGAGGAAGUGAAGAAAAAGAUUAUUGUUUAGAAAACCAUUUAUGACGAUCCUACGGUUUGGUUUUACUCGAGAGAUGGUAACUGCUCUAUACCUAAUUUGUGGAGUAAUCAACUACAUUUUUUUGUACUCCCCAUUUCAUUAUAUGAAUCUGUGUCCUACAUAUGCAUAUUAUGAAUUAUCGGACUUCUAAAUUAACAGAAUUUCAUCUUGAAUUCAUCAAUGGGGCAUCAUUUUGGACUACACUUAACUAAGACCAAAUAUAAAUGCCCUAGAGGCCUUAACACUAGGGUGACAUAAUCUUUUCAGCAUCUAACAGUUAUUACAAAAAAAAACUGAGAAAACUCCAGUUAUGGUGAAGAAUGGAUGAGUCUCUCAUGGAGAUAUUUGUAUUUUGAGUUCUAUCACCACUCGAUAUUUUUCUUGUUUCAGUAUUGUCUGCAGCUUUGUUUCAUGAAGAUUGAAUUCUGUAAUUUUUUUAUGUCACAUUUGAAUGUGUUGGCAAGUAAGCGGCUCUACAUCGAUCUUGCCAAUUCCAUUUCUAAUAGGCAUGAGCCCCUUGUGUUCUGGACAACUAAGGUUACAUGCAUAAUUACCUAAUCAUGUACCAAUUCUGAGUCAGACGCGUGCAUUUGGAUUGGAUAUUGAACCAAGCCCGCCAUUUUAUUACUCUGAAAGAACUAUACAAUGAUAUUUGGCUAUUGCUUUCAGUAUUAGAGAAGCAUGGAAACUGAACUGCGGGGCUUUCUAUAUUUUUAUGUGACAUUCCUCUAUGCCAUCGUGCCAUACUAUUUAUUUUGAGCAACCUCUCUAUGCUAUUUUCUUGGACAAUUUUCACUGUAAUCUCUAGCACCUCAAUAUACGGUAAACAACUGCAAGCUUGGGUAUUUUUUUUCUCAUCUUGUAUUCAUAUUAUUUGCUAUGUUACUUUAGCAAUCAAAUAGAAUCAGACACAAGCUCCAGUUAGUCCUGUGUAAAAACUAAUGUGCUGGUGUGGACCAUGAAUUCCUUAUUUUGUCUGUUUCAGACUUGGGAUCGUAGGGAAAAGUGUGGACUAUGGAGUCAUACCAGAACUGGAUUGACCAUGGCACAUCUUCUCAAACGAGUCAUGGCGUCGUCAACAAUAUUCAAGAUUUCAUGUUCCCUUCAUUUCCAAGCAUCGCUCUUAAAGCAAUAUAUGCAGGUUCAUCAUUCAUGCGAGGGAUAUGAAUGAUGAAACAAAAGUAAAAGGUGUUUAUGCUAACAGAUCAUCAUAAUUGGGGAUGAGUGUCAUGUUAGUUUUAUAAAUCC